rnacentral:tRNA from 1 species
GGGGCUGCAGAUCAGUGCUAGAGCAUCUGCUUGGCAUGCAGAUGGUCCAAGGUUCCAUCCCUAGCAUCUCCA